UACAGAGGUGGCGAGCGUUAUUCGGAAUUAUUGGGCGUAAAGGGCGCGUAGGCGGCUUGACAAGUCCCGGGUGAAGUCCCUCGGCUCAACCGAGGAACUGCCUUGGAAACUGUCUGGCUUGAGGCCGGGAGAGGGUAGUGGAAUUCCCAGUGUAGCGGUGAAAUGCGUAGAUACUGGGAGGAACACCGGUGGCGAAGGCGGCUACCUUGACCAGUUCUGACGCUGAGGCGCGAAAGCGUGGGUAGCAAACAGG
rnacentral:rRNA from 1 species